UCUCGAUAGCGUAAAAGUUAACUCAAAUUUGUAUGGAGUUGGAACCUUUGCCAACGUUUGCCGCUAGAGACGCUGUUCCAACUCCAUACAAAUCAGAGUUAACUUUUACGCUAUCGU
rnacentral:pre_miRNA from 9 species